GUGUGAAUGAAAGCGGGGGACCGAAAGGCCUCGCGCUCAAGGGGCGGCCGAUGGCAGAUUAGCUAGUUGGUGGGGUAAAGGCCUACCAAGGCGACGAUCUGUAGCUGGUCUGAGAGGACGACCAGCCACACUGGGACUGAGACACGGCCCAGACUCCUACGGGAGGCAGCAGUGGGGAAUUUUGGACAAUGGGGGCAACCCUGAUCCAGCAAUGCCGCGUGUGUGAAGAAGGCCUUCGGGUUGUAAAGCACUUUUGUUCGGAAAGAAAACCACUUCUCUAAUACAGAGGUGGGAUGACGGUACCGGAAGAAUAAGCACCGGCUAACUACGUGCCAGCAGCCGCGGUAAUACGUAGGGUGCGAGCGUUAAUCGGAAUUACUGGGCGUAAAGCGUGCGCAGGCGGUUUGUUAAGACAGAUGUGAAAUCCCCGGGCUUAACCUGGGAACUGCAUUUGUGACUGGCAAGCUAGAGUAUGGCAGAGGGGGGUAGAAUUCCACGUGUAGCAGUGAAAUGCGUAGAGAUGUGGAGGAAUACCGAUGGGCGAAGGCAGCCCCCUGGGCCAAUACUGACGCUCAUGCACGAAAGGCGUGGGGAGCAAACAGGAUUAGAUAC
rnacentral:rRNA from 1 species